UGUAAAUACAAAUGGAAGUUACUAUUGCAUCUGUGAUGAAGGAUUUCGAUCAAAUCCCCCCAAUUUCACAGCAACAACAGGACAGUGUGUCGAUAUCAAUGAGUGUACUGAGAAUACAACCACAUGCUCAACAGAUCAGGUGUGUCUGAACACCAUUGGCUCUUAUAACUGCACAUGUCCUAAAGGAUAUCGUGGACAAAGACUAGACUAGAUUGAUAAUCAAACAAAAAUCAUCAAUAAAUAACAUUUUUUUCAUUAAAGGUCAAUUUUCCUUUUAAUAAAUUAUUUUGGCUUUUUAUAUUUAGUGUCAGCUAAUUGUGACUAUAGUGUUUAAACCCAUAAAUAAUAGGCAUAGAAUAGAAUUGUAUUAAAUAUAUUCAUUAUUACACUGUAAAAUCCAACAUUUGUUCUAACUAACACCUUGUAGUCAAUUGUAAAUAUCUAGUAAUCUGUACUAUUCUCAUACAAUGGCUUGUUUACAGAAAAGCCGAGAUAAGAUUAACUGAUUGGUUUGAGUUCAAUUACGUCAAGUAAAAAAAGUCUUUGAGGCGGGAAAUUCUUAAUAGACUUUUCUCAGUUCUGCAGUUAUCCUUCAUUCACUCAUUUCCCAAAGUCAUCUUAAAUGUUCAAUCGUGAACAACUUUUAUUCUAAACAGCUGAGAGAUCAUCACAUAAGCUAAUUUCAUAAACGGAUGUUGAUUUUGCUAAAAUGUUUUUUUUGUUUUACUAGUUUUUACUUGUUUGGAAAGUUAACUCACCAUUAUGCUGAUCAGUGUCCCAUUUGGUGGGAUACUUAAGUUGGAUCAUCAUUUAUAUUAUUGUAAGUCUUGAUGCAGCGAGAAGUGUGUAAAUGAAACUAUUAAUAUGUUUUUUAGGGGUUUCAAGCAUCACAAAGCUGUUUCAAGCUCUCUCUCUCUCUCUCUCAGACAUCGAUAAGUGUACAGAUCCAGAUGUUUGCGGCACAAACGCAGAUUGCAUAAAUCAUCCAGGCAGCUUCAUCUGCGAAUGUCACCCGGGUUACAGUAACUACGGCAACAACCAGUCAAAAUGCACCGAUAUUUCACAGACGCAUUUCUGUGUGUGAGUCUCGUUUGCUGAACGAUGACGUCUGGCAUCUCCGUGUGGUUUAACUGUGAUCCAGUAUCAGCGAAACUUUCUCUUUUCACCUUCACUGAUCAGCUGUGAAUCUGAUUUAUAUGAUAUUUGAAGACCUGUUUCUGCUUUUCUCCUCUAAGUCAACAAGAGAACAUGAGAAGUUUGUUUUUUUUAUAGUUGUUCAUGUAAAUAAGUUUAAAUGCACUUGACAAAUGACAAAUAUUUCCAACACAGUUUCAAUGUUUGAUGAGGAGCAAUUAUGAAAUGAGUAAAUAAAAAGAAGAUGAAACAAACACAUGCCUGUUUGUAAAUGCUUAAUCAACUGAGGCAGUGUUGAAGAUGAAGACUGGCAGUAUUGUGUGUGUGUGUGUGUGUGUGUGUGUAAUUGUUGGUUAGUGGAACUAAUUAGAUUACAUUUUUUGAUAAAGCUUGCUGUCUCUACACACUCAAAAGCAUCAGGAUCUUCUGGCUUACCAUUUCCUGAGUGUGUUUACCCUCUCUCUCUCUCUGUUACACACAC